rnacentral:lncRNA from 1 species
GAGACAUUUCUUGACAAUGAGAUACUUCCAAAAGAGCUUGAAAACUGCUAUUUUUGCUCUGUGGAGUCUGUGAUCUGAGACCAUCAUUGAGGACGCACCAGAAGGGAAAGCGGUAAAAGAAAAACCCUCCGCGAAACUUUCAAACUGUCGCCAUAUUUGUUUUUCUAAUUCAGCAAUGUUUGACGGGAAAUAAACUCAAUCCAGACUCCCUCAUACUAAAGUAGAGCCUUGAAUAAAAAUUUUCUAGGGCGAAAAUUAAGAAGCAGAUCAGAGAGAUCUGUAUUAGUACGUUCGUUGAACUGUGUUUUCAACUGGGAGAAAAAGUACGAUUUGCCUAGAUCUUCCCAUUAUUUAAUGCAAGUGGUUUAAGAUACAAUUUCCAAAAUUUCGGACAUCUUAGACGAUUACAAAAAAAGCCAGUUUGAGUGGACAUUGAAGCUUAGUACAGAGUACAGACUGCCCCUUGCAUUACAUCAGACAGCAAAUUGCUAUAAGUCGCUCUGCCUUAAAUAUACCAAGAGAUCAGUUCAAAGUUGAUUUUCUUUUGCUUUUUUCUCAAUAAAGAAGGUCCACAGAACUUAAAUCGUUCAAUAUUUUAUGUUGAAUUUGUCUUGACCGCCAUCUUUGUUUUCAUCCGACUGCAAUCCGCUGACCAAUGAAUGCGGGAGCAAAAUGUCCUGGAUUUCUGGCGAUGUUGGGGGCUAUUCUAGAUAAACAUGCACCGUUUCAAAGAAAGAUAAUUGGCACAAGACCGCGGGUACCUUGGUAUAAUGAAAUUCACAUCAGCAUUAGCUGCCAUUUCCUCAACCUGCUUUACCAAAUAAAGGAUGUGUGUAUGUAUGCGCCGCACGAAAUCUUUGGAUGACUUGAUACGAUAUAAAUCUGCACGUAAAUUCGCUACUGACUUAAUGAGAAAGGCGCGCUUCGAUUUUUAUCAAGGCUUUAUGCAAGAAAAUAGUGGAAAGUUAUUCGAGGCAUCAAAAACAGCUGUUAAAUCAUCAGUCUGACGUGCCCUUCCCUCCUCAUAAAAACAGAUCUAUGUUGCCAAAUGAGAUGGGAAACUUCUUUGUUUAAAAGAUUAGCAAUAUUAGAUCUAAAUUCAAGGAAUGUACCAUUCAAGAACGUGAGAACUGUCAGCUAUCAGAGAACUCACAUUUAUGUUCGUUGCCAUUUAAUUGUUUUGAACCUCUCACACAAAGCGAGGUUUACAACGUCAUCAUGGGAAUGGCCAAGAAAUCACGCGCUCUCGAUCCAAUUCCGACACCUUUACUUGUUAAAUCUAUCGAUGUUCUUUUACCAUUUAUAACCAAAAUAAUCAAUCUUUCACUUCAAAGCGGUUAUUUUCCUCCAGUAUGGAAAGAAGCUCUUGUUCUGCCAAUUCUGAAAAAAGCCAAAAUAGAUCUUGUUUAUAAGAAUUACUGGCCUGUGAGUAAUCUUUCGUUCAUCUCCAAAGUAAUCGAACGAGCUGUGUUUCUACCAGUUGAUAAUUUUAUAUGAAGAGGAACGAUUAAGAGCCGCUUUCGACACGGUUGAUUACAAUGUACUUGUACGUAGGCUUCAAUUUUCGUUUGGAAUUUCUGGUACACCACUUGAAUGGUUCUCUUCUUAUCUGACGGCACGUUGACAACGCAUUUCCAUCUGUGGUACCUUAUCUGAUAGUUUCGGUCAAAAUUGCUUAGAUGAUAUCCGCUUAUGGAUGGAGCACGAUAAACUUCUUCUCAACGAUGAAAAAACUGAGUUUCUUAUUCUGGGGACCCUGCAACAACUGUCAAAAAUUAACAUCUCUUCGAUUACUGUUGGAAGUUCCCAGAUUGAAAGAUCAUCUGUUGUCAAAAACCUUGGUACUUUUCUUCACGACAAACUAUCUAUGAAUGCUCAUAUAAACAAAGUCUGUAAUGUAUCAUUUUAUUAUAUUCAUACUGUCUGACGCAUUAGGAAGUACUUAUCGCCAAACUCUACAGAGACUUUGAUCCAUGCUUUUAUUACCAGCAGAUUGGACUACUGUAGCAGCUUGCUUUAUGGUACACCACAAGUACAAAUUUACAAACUACAAAGGGUUCAAAAUGCAGCCGCUAGGCUAAUCUUUAAACAACCUAAGUUUAGCCAUAUUGCCAGCUUCACUGGUUACCAAUGAGGCACCGUGUAGAAUUUAAGAUUCUUUUAUUGUGUUUUAAGGCAAUAUACGGUAUGGCAUCCGGCUAUAUUUUUAAGCUUAUUAGCUUUAAAAUUCCCACUAAAUAUGAGCUAAGGUCGAAUCAAAAACUUCUGCUCAAGGUCCCAAGUGGUAAGAUGUUACCCACAUUGGGAGCGAGGGCAUUCUCCUAUGCUGCACCACGUCUCUGGAAUGACUUACCAAGUAACAUCACUGGCCUUCACUCCUUCUCUAGUUUUAAACGUAAUCUUAUAACCUACCUUUUCACCCGGGCUUUUAAUCUUCCAUCUCAUUAGCUUAGUGCUUUUUAAUAUUCUAUCUCAUUAGCUUAGUGCUUUUUAAUAUUCUAUCUCAUUUGGUUAGUGCUUUUUAACAUUCUAUCUCAUUAGCUUAGUGCUUUUUAAUAUUCUAUCUCAUUUGGUUAGUGCUUUUUAAUUUCUUGUCUCAUUAGGAAAAUUGUAAUUUUACAUAUAUACAUAUAUUUUUUCCUACAUAUUCUUUAUUUUCAUGUAAAGCGCAUUUGAUCAUGUAAAUGGAGUUUGCGCUAUAUUAAUUUCAAUUAUUAUUAUUUGGUAAUGAAUAUGAGACACUCAUUUGGAACGACACCGUCUCUAGAAAAAAAAAACCACAAUUGGAACUAAUAUCAUCGAUUAUUUAUAAAAUAUUGCAUGUAUUCCAUGAUGAUUAGGUUCAGCCAAGGGGGACUGUUUCUCGCCAAAGCUACUAACUUGUCGGUUAUGUUUCAAAAUCAUACUUAAAAAAUACAAAUCAAGUAGUUUUCUAUUUCUUUACGAUGUUAGCAUGUUACGGGCUCGUGUAUCCAACAUUAUGAUAUAGAUCAUACUCGUGAAAUACCAGAAUUCAGUUUUUUCUUUGACUAAAACAUCAGAUCUUCAACGCGCGCAGUGAAGAUACUAUUUUUAUCUUUCACACGUGAGGUUAUUGGUGUCGCCAUGGUUACUAACACGAUCAGAGGUUUAAGAAGUACAAGAGAGGUUCCCGCUCAGACGCAUGGCUGGUUCUUUUGAAAUUUCAUUCACAAAAUGGCUUCGACGUGCGGAGACGGUACAGUUACUGGUGACUUUCUCGAUGAGCUGCCAAAUUUUCACAUCGAUAUGUUUUCCGAGCUUGAAGAACAUCCAGGAAGAUUUGCCGAAGUCUCGGAAAGUGAUGUGGAAAAGUUGUGUUUUAUGUGGAAAUGUCAUUAGUAUCUAUAAAAUAAACAGAACAUUACAUGACCGCUUGGGGAUACGAAUCUUAUCUUCUCGUGUUGAAAGUAUCUUACCGCACUCGAAGAUAAAAGUCGUAUCUCCGCGCGGCCAUGUAAUUUCCUUUGUUUUUUAUCUGAAGUACAUUAACAAGAACUCAUUUUAAUUCAAUACAGAGUCCCUUUCUUAUGCACAAGUGCCAGCAAGUUAAGAAGCUUUCAAGUUACGAAAUUUCAUAGAAAUAUUGGUACAAAUGUAUUGCCGGUUUAUAGAGAUGGGUUUUAGGGAUCGCGAUGAGUGCUUUUUCUGUGAUAGUAAACAUGAAACCAUAGAGCACCUCUUUUGAUGUUGUGACCGGAUCUUUGGAGGUAACAAAAGUUGACGUCUAGUUCUCCAUUGAAUCUGUUCUCCUGGCCUACACAAAAUGUAUGCCUUGUAAAAUGUAAUAAACUGAAUUAUUUUAGUUGUGAAGUUUUUCCAUAUAUAAAUGUAAAAUGGAGAGAAGUAAUUCCGAUUUUACUGGCACACAACGCUAUCUAAAGUUUCACUGUAAUGCUGAAAAAUUGGCAUGUGAUUUUCCCAUAAGGAAAAAUUUUUAAGUCAGUACAAAUUUAAGUAUAGCUGUGAUAUGUCUUUAUUGUACACUGUAAAUAAUGUUUCAGUAUAUCAUUUUGUUUUUUUUGCGUAAUUGAUGCAUCCUUAGUGUUUGCAAUAAAGGGUCUUAAAA